rnacentral:rRNA from 1 species
GGUUAAGCGACUAAGCGUACACGGUGGAUGCCCUGGCAGUCAGAGGCGAUGAAGGGCGUGCUAAUCUGCGAUAAGCGCCGGUAAGGUGAUAUGAACCGUUAUAACCGGCGAUACCCGAAUGGGGAAACCCAGUGUGACUCGUCACACUAUCAUUAACUGAAUCCAUAGGUUAAUGAGGCGAACCGGGGGAACUGAAACAUCUAAGUACCCCGAGGAAAAGAAAUCAACCGAGAUUCCCCCAGUAGCGGCGAGCGAACGGGGAGGAGCCCAGAGCCUGAAUCAGCAUAUGUGUUAGUGGAAGCGUCUGGAAAGGCGCGCGAUACAGGGUGACAGCCCCGUACACAAAAGCGCAUGUGCUGUGAGCUCGAUGAGUAGGGCGGGACACGUGGUAUCCUGUCUGAAUAUGGGGGGACCAUCCUCCAAGGCUAAAUACUCCUGACUGACCGAUAGUGAACCAGUACCGUGAGGGAAAGGCGAAAAGAACCCCGGCGAGGGGAGUGAAAAAGAACCUGAAACCGUGUACGUACAAGCAGUGGGAGCACCCUUUGGGGUGUGACUGCGUACCUUUUGUAUAAUGGGUCAGCGACUUAUAUUCUGUAGCAAGGUUAACCGAAUAGGGGAGCCGGAGGGAAACCGAGUCUUAACCGGGCGUUAAGUUGCAGGGUAUAGACCCGAAACCCGGUGAUCUAGCCAUGGGCAGGUUGAAGGUUGGGUAACACUAACUGGAGGACCGAACCGACUAAUGUUGAAAAAUUAGCGGAUGACCUGUGGCUGGGGGUGAAAGGCCAAUCAAACCGGGAGAUAGCUGGUUCUCCCCGAAAGCUAUUUAGGUAGCGCCUCGUGAAUUCAUCUCCGGGGGUAGAGCACUGUUUCGGCUAGGGGGCCAUCCCGGCUUACCAACCCGAUGCAAACUGCGAAUACCGGAGAAUGUUAUCACGGGAGACACACGGCGGGUGCUAACGUCCGUCGUGAAGAGGGAAACAACCCAGACCGCCAGCUAAGGUCCCAAAGUCAUGGUUAAGUGGGAAACGAUGUGGGAAGGCCCAGACAGCCAGGAUGUUGGCUUAGAAGCAGCCAUCAUUUAAAGAAAGCGUAAUAGCUCACUGGUCGAGUCGGCCUGCGCGGAAGAUGUAACGGGGCUAAACCAUGCACCGAAGCUGCGGCAGCGACGCUGAUGCGUUGUUGGGUAGGGGAGCGUUCUGUAAGCCUGCGAAGGUGGCCUGUGAGGGUUGCUGGAGGUAUCAGAAGUGCGAAUGCUGACAUAAGUAACGAUAAAGCGGGUGAAAAGCCCGCUCGCCGGAAGACCAAGGGUUCCUGUCCAACGUUAAUCGGGGCAGGGUGAGUCGACCCCUAAGGCGAGGCCGAAAGGCGUAGUCGAUGGGAAACGGGUUAAUAUUCCCGUACUUGGUGUUACUGCGAAGGGGGGACGGAGAAGGCUAUGUUGGCCGGGCGACGGUUGUCCCGGUUUAAGCGUGUAGGUGUGUGUUCCAGGUAAAUCCGGUUCACUUUAACACUGAGGCGUGAUGACGAGGCACUACGGUGCUGAAGCAACAAAUGCCCUGCUUCCAGGAAAAGCCUCUAAGCAUCAGGUAACAUCAAAUCGUACCCCAAACCGACACAGGUGGUCAGGUAGAGAAUACCAAGGCGCUUGAGAGAACUCGGGUGAAGGAACUAGGCAAAAUGGUGCCGUAACUUCGGGAGAAGGCACGCUGACACGUAGGUGAAGUGAUUUACUCAUGGAGCUGAAGUCAGUCGAAGAUACCAGCUGGCUGCAACUGUUUAUUAAAAACACAGCACUGUGCAAACACGAAAGUGGACGUAUACGGUGUGACGCCUGCCCGGUGCCGGAAGGUUAAUUGAUGGGGUCAGCGCAAGCGAAGCUCCUGAUCGAAGCCCCGGUAAACGGCGGCCGUAACUAUAACGGUCCUAAGGUAGCGAAAUUCCUUGUCGGGUAAGUUCCGACCUGCACGAAUGGCGUAAUGAUGGCCAGGCUGUCUCCACCCGAGACUCAGUGAAAUUGAACUCGCUGUGAAGAUGCAGUGUACCCGCGGCAAGACGGAAAGACCCCGUGAACCUUUACUAUAGCUUGACACUGAACAUUGAGCCUUGAUGUGUAGGAUAGGUGGGAGGCUUUGAAGUGUGGACGCCAGUCUGCAUGGAGCCGGCCUUGAAAUACCACCCUUUAAUGUUUGAUGUUCUAACGUGGACCCGUGAUCCGGGUUGCGGACAGUGUCUGGUGGGUAGUUUGACUGGGGCGGUCUCCUCCUAAAGAGUAACGGAGGAGCACGAAGGUUGGCUAAUCCUGGUCGGACAUCAGGAGGUUAGUGCAAUGGCAUAAGCCAGCUUGACUGCGAGCGUGACGGCGCGAGCAGGUGCGAAAGCAGGUCAUAGUGAUCCGGUGGUUCUGAAUGGAAGGGCCAUCGCUCAACGGAUAAAAGGUACUCCGGGGAUAACAGGCUGAUACCGCCCAAGAGUUCAUAUCGACGGCGGUGUUUGGCACCUCGAUGUCGGCUCAUCACAUCCUGGGGCUGAAGUAGGUCCCAAGGGUAUGGCUGUUCGCCAUUUAAAGUGGUACGCGAGCUGGGUUUAGAACGUCGUGAGACAGUUCGGUCCCUAUCUGCCGUGGGCGCUGGAGAACUGAGGGGGGCUGCUCCUAGUACGAGAGGACCGGAGUGGACGCAUCACUGGUGUUCGGGUUGUCAUGCCAAUGGCACUGCCCGGUAGCUAAAUGCGGAAGAGAUAAGUGCUGAAAGCAUCUAAGCACGAAACUUGCCCCGAGAUGAGUUCUCCCUGAGACUUAGAGUCUCCUGAAGGAACGUUGAAGACGACGACGUUGAUAGGCCGGGUGUGUAAGCGCAGCGAUGCGUUGAGCUAACCGGUACUAAUGAACCGUGAGGCUUAACCUU